rnacentral:rRNA from 1 species
AGAGUUUGAUCCUGGCUCAGGACGAACGCUGGCGGCGUGCUUAACACAUGCAAGUCGAACGAAAAGACGGAAAGAGCUUGCUCUUUUCAGAAUUGAGUGGCAAACGGGUGAGUAACACGUAAACAACCUGCCUUCAGGAUGGGGACAACAGACGGAAACGACUGCUAAUACCGAAUAAGUUCCAAGAGCCGCAUGGCCCAUGGAAGAAAAGGUGGCCUCUACCUGUAAGCUAUCGCCUGAAGAGGGGUUUGCGUCUGAUUAGCUGGUUGGAGGGGUAACGGCCCACCAAGGCGACGAUCAGUAGCCGGUCUGAGAGGAUGAACGGCCACACUGGAACUGAGACACGGUCCAGACUCCUACGGGAGGCAGCAGUGGGGAAUCUUCCGCAAUGGGCGAAAGCCUGACGGAGCAACGCCGCGUGAGUGAUGACGGCCUUCGGGUUGUAAAACUCUGUGAUCCGGGACGAAAAGGCAGAGUGCGAAGAACAAACUGCAUUGACGGUACCGGAAAAGCAAGCCACGGCUAACUACGUGCCAGCAGCCGCGGUAAUACGUAGGUGGCAAGCGUUGUCCGGAUUUAUUGGGCGUAAAGCGAGUGCAGGCGGUUCAAUAAGUCUGAUGUGAAAGCCUUCGGCUCAACCGGAGAAUUGCAUCAGAAACUGUUGAACUUGAGUGCAGAAGAGGAGAGUGGAACUCCAUGUGUAGCGGUGGAAUGCGUAGAUAUAUGGAAGAACACCAGUGGCGAAGGCGGCUCUCUGGUCUGCAACUGACGCUGAGGCUCGAAAGCAUGGGUAGCGAACAGGAUUAGAUACCCUGGUAGUCCAUGCCGUAAACGAUGAGUGCUAAGUGUUGGGAGGUUUCCGCCUCUCAGUGCUGCAGCUAACGCAUUAAGCACUCCGCCUGGGGAGUACGACCGCAAGGUUGAAAC